UCAUUAUGCUGGCAGAAGGAAGUCAGUGGCUUCGGUGGAUUUAGUGAUGCUGAGUGGGCAAGAAAGAGGAGUUCCUGGGCCAGGAGAUGAUGCCUCGGGAAAGCACUUUUGAGAAUCGUGAUUCUGGCCGCCGCUUGCUGUUGUUCUCUUUGCAAUGGGCCACUUUUGCUCGGGUUUGGUAUCUCUUAGAUGGGAAAAUGCAGCCCCCUGGCAAACUGGCUGCUUUGGCAUCAAUCAGACUUCAAGGAUUGCAUAAACCUGUAUACCAUCAACUGAGUGACUGUGGGGAUCAUGUUGUCAUAAUGAACACAAGGCACAUUGCAUUUUCUGGAAAUAAAUGGGAACAAAAAGUGUACUCCUCACAUACUGGCUAUCCAGGUGGAUUUAGACAAGUAACAGCUGCUCAACUUCACCAGAAGGAUCCAGUAGCAAUUGUGAAACUAGCUAUUUAUGGCAUGCUGCCAAAAAACCUUCACAGAAGAACUCUGAUGCAGAGGUUGCAUCUUUUCCCAGAUGAGGAUAUACCAGAAGAUAUUCGUGAGAAUUUAGUCGAGGAGCUUCCUCAGCCACGGAAAGUGCCCCGACGCCUCGAUGAGUACACAAGGGAAGAAAUCGAGGCUUUCCCAAGAGUGUGGUCUCCAACAGCUGAUAUGGUGAAGCAUAUUUGGCUGGUUUCCCAGAUCAGAGCCUGUGUUCCUCAGAGCUAAAUAAUAAUUCUGAAUUGUAAUACAGUUUGUUUACUCAGCCACUAGACUGUUGGUCUUCAUAGCUGAGCUAUCUGGUAUCUUACCUGAAGAUUAUCGACUAUAGGAAAAUGAAAAUUGCAGAAAAUAUCCAUGCGGUGAUUAAAACUUCUUCCUGAUGAGUCUCUCCUAACCUACAGGCAGAGUGAAACUUCCACUGCAUUUUGACAAGAGACUUGUCAUGGGUGCUGAAAGCUUGUGGAGAAAGGUCAGGGGGUGAUAUCCCUUCAAUAGGAAAUUGCAAUAAAGUACAUUAUUUUAAGGAAUUGUUAUGUAGUCUGAUUUGAAUGUUAUAAGUGAUGAUAAAGAAUAAAAUUGCUUACUUGUUUAA